rnacentral:rRNA from 1 species
GAUGAACGCUGGCGGCGUGCCUCAAACAUGCAAGUCGAGCGGGGCUAUGUAAUAUCGCAAGGUAGAACAUAGCCUAGCGGCGAACGGGUGAGUAACACGUGGGUAACCUGCCUGGAAGACAGGGAUAACGAUUCGAAAGGGUCGCUAAUACCUGAUAAUAUCCUUUCAUCGCAUGGUGAUAGGAAGAAGGGGAAACCCGCUUUCAGAUGGGCCCGCGUCCCAUCAGCUAGUUGGUAAGGUAAAGGCUUACCAAGGCGACGACGGGUAGCCGGUCUGAGAGGAUGUACGGCCACACUGGGACUGAGAUACGGCCCAGACUCCUACGGGAGGCAGCAGUUGGGAAUCUUAGGCAAUGGACGAAAGUCUGACCUAGCGACGCCGCGUGAGGGAAGAAGGCCUUCGGGUUGUAAACCUCUGUCAUGGGGAAGAAGUAAGUGACGGUACCCCAAGAGGAAGCCCCUGCUAACUACGUGCCAGCAGCCGCGGUAAGGAGUAGUACA